UGGGCCAGGUAGGGGAGGCCUUAGGCUCCUCUCCUGCUCAGCUCCAACUCUGCAAAGUUUGCUUCAACUGCACCCAGAGCUGUGCAGACGCAUGUGGAGUAGCAGGAUGAACAGAAGUUCCGACCCGGUGGUCACCGUCUCGGCGGCUCGUUCCUCCAUAGGUCAGUGUCCCGGAGGCACCCUACAGGUGCGCAGAGAACCCGGCCAACUGCCCGCGUGCAUUCAUGAUCGUUCAUCUCUGACCGUGUGGUGGCAGAGGUUCCGUCAGUGGUGCCCUGUCCACCGUGCCUGUCCACGACCUGGGGACAACUGUCAUCAAAGAAGUCCUGCAGUGGGCUAAGGUGCCUCCAGAAGAGGUGUCCGAGGCAGACACGUUUUGACUGCAGGGCACAUGAAGGAGCCCUCCAUGCUGACAAUGGUCCUGAUGAGGAAACACUGCAGGCUGCCUUAGAGCCACAGGCCACCAUGGAACACCCAGCCUCAUACUUGGCAGUUUCCUACAGGAGGUGAACAUCGAUGGAGGAGUCAUUGCCUUGGGCCAUCCACUGGGAGCAUCUGGCUGUAGGAUUCUACUGACCUUGUUACACACCCUGGAGAGAGUAGGUGGGACUUGUGGUGUUGCAGACCUGUGCACUGGGGGUGGGAUGGGGAUGGCAAUGUGUGUUCAGAGAGGAUGAGCCAUCACCCUUACAGUUCUCAUUAAAACACUAAACAGAACGUGAGACCAGAGGACCACAGUGAGGAAAGGAACCCAACUAGACAGCUUGCUGUAAUUUAGUGUGAGACACCCAAGGCUAAGACGUUGAGACAUUGCACUUGACACUGUUAUAAAACAGGGAAAUCCAGUCAGUCAUCAAGGGCUCCAGAGUGAAUGACAGUUUCAUAAUUUCCAUGUUUAUUGUCUUUGCUUUCUGGGUAUAAUUUUCUCUGAUCAUUGAUUUGUUUAUUUGUUUGUUUGUUUGUUUGUUUGUUUUUGAGUCAGGGUCUCAUCAUAUAGCCUGAAAAUCAUUUUGUAGAUGAGGUUGGCUUUGAACUCCCAGAUCCACCUUUCUGUGCCUCCUGGGUACUCGAAUGAAACGCAUGCACCAUUAUGCAGAGCCCCCAAAAUGAUCCAUUCAAGGAAUGGGGAUGUGGCUUCUGGUUUGAACUUCAGGCUCUUCGCUCAAACACCCCUGCUUGCUUGUUGUCUUGUGGUUUCCCAUUGAUCAAACCAAAACCAAUCCUGUAAUGGAAAUUGGAUUCAGUGGCCUCUUCUAAGCUGAGGUGGUGGGCUAGGUAUUCUAGCUAUUCUACUCAAAAGAUUGGCCUUCCCAACCAGUGUGCCUCUGGUUUGUUGGAAAGUAAGCAGCAAGCGCCUACCAUUCAUUUGUUUCUCUGCUUGACCAGAGGGAUGGUACUUGCUUCAAACGUCUACCUUGACUUCCCCAAAAUGAUGAACUGUGACUGGAAUUGAAAGCCAAAUAAACUCUCUCCUCCCUUGCAUUGCUUCUCAGCACUGAGUUUGAUCAUGAAAACAGAAACAAAGCCAGAGCUUAGGAUAUGGUAAGGACAGCCAGCUUCAACAGAAAAGCCUUAGUGUGCAGCAUGUUACUAAGAGGUCCCUUUGGGAUCAUUUCUGAUAAGCCGUAUGUUACUCAGAUGAACCUGCAAGGGGGUAUCACAUGUACUGUGGAAAUCAUAAGCAAACUAUAAUAGAGAUUGCAGAAGUCGGUUAUUGAAGCCAUGUGUCACAUAUGAAUGACUGGUUGGGGACAGGCCAAAUACACAACAGCAAUCCCCUAAGAGUAUCACGGAGUAAAAGUUCCUUCCCAAUAAUGUCCGAGCAGCUGGAGUCAGAGCAGGGGCAUCCAUAACAGGACAAUAGCCAACACAGUGUGCACUAACCUGCAUAGCCAGAUGUGUCACGGCAUAGCCCCUAGUUAAUGAAAAGAAGUCUUGUCAGUCCCUGAGGGGCCAGGGCUACACAUCAUGAACAUGUUGUGCCUCUACCUCAGGAACAUGCAAUAUGGUUGCACAAAUAUUUACCAGAAAUAAGCCAAGAUUGGGAUAAGUGCAUAUGUGUUGCCAUGUUUGUAUAUGCACAUUGGAGACAGGAGAGCAUGGAACCCCCUGGAACAGACUUGUAAGACACUAUGUGGGGGCUAGGACUGAACCCAGGUCCUCUACAAGAACAACUAGUGUCGGUGCCUGAGCCCCCAGUGUGUGAAUAUCGGGCGCAGUUCUGCAGGUGGAAAGAAAACACAUACAUGGGUCACCCAUUGUCAGAGAGUGCCACCAACACUUUACUGAGAUCUCCUUAUAUACCAGAGGGAAAAGUCAUGGAAAACAACAAGGCAGGUGUAAAUCCCUAACCAGGAAAACAGGAUAAGUCUGUGUGGUGGAAAGUCCCAGGCCCAAUCAGGGGCAUGAACAACUUCUUAGACAACAAGCUGGAAGACUCGGUGGGGAGGAAGGGGGCCAUGGAAAUCCCAGCCCCAAAUCAGGAGCUAAGAGCAGCUCCCAAGGCUGUGAACAACUUCUUGCUAUAGCAGGCUAAAAGGCUCAGUGAGGGGGAAGGGAAACACCACGGUAGGGCCUAAGAAACUAGUACUCAGCUACUGAGCGAUCUCUCUAGCCCCGUUUUUAUUUAAAUGGUGGGGUGAAAUCCAUGUGAAUAAGGUGCCUGAGAUAGCUAGGUUAAUGGCUGCUCCUGGAGCCAGUGAUUACAGGUGUUUGUAAGCCAGUGCUGGGUGGGGGGAAUUGAACCCAGGGCCUUGUGCUUGCUAGGCAAGCGCUCUACCACUAAGCUAAAUCCCCGACCCCCUUGGAAGUUUAAAUAGAGAGGAUUAGACUGCUCACUAUGAGGUUGAAUAAAAGGAUUUCAGAGUUGUCAGCAUGAUGGGUGGUUACUGAAGGGAUGGGGUGGAAUGAUGUUUUCCUGGGAGCUGCUGCAGAAUUGGGUAAGGGACAGAGUAAGCCCACAAGGGGGACUGAGGAGUGGCCAGAGAGAGGAAGUGGAAAGGCAGGAAGCUGCAGAAGCAAAGCAGAAUGGCUGUCCUUUCAGAACCCUGGAGUCCUACAGCCUGCCUGUGAGGGAGGGAGUGGGGUGUGGGGAGAAUAGCCAGAGGGAGUCUGCAAAAGGAAGAUGUAAAUGAACAUUACAAGACAAAUGAGACCAAAGAUGUUUCCUCUUUAAUUAGAAAAGACCUCACCUGGCAAAAAGCCCUUCUUGGUCAGCGUUUUUUCUAAGAUAUAGUAUGUGCCCAAGGUUUCAUCUGCUUUCUAAAGUUACACUUCCACUUUGCCUGGAGUUAGGAAAUUAUGUAAUGACUGUGUAAGGCUAAAGCCUGUCAUGGUGGUGCCCAGCUUUAAUCCCAGCAUUCAAGGAAUAGAAGCAAGUGGAUCUCUUAAAUUCCAGGCCAACCUGACCUACAUAGUGACUUAUAUAUAGGUCAGCUAUGGGUUACAUUAUGAAGUCAUGGUUGACAGGGAGAGAGAGAGAGAGAGAGAGAGAGAGAGAGAGAGAGAG